rnacentral:tRNA from 1 species
GAGGGUAUAGCUCAGUGGUAAAGUGCAUGCCUAGUAUGCAUGAUGUGCUGGGUUCAGUCCCCAGUACCUACA